GGAAGCUGGGAUUUUCUUGAAAUAAUGCUUGCAAUAACAUAAGUGCAGCAUUCCUCACCAGACCUACAAAGAUACAAAUUAUUGUACAUUAGGUACAGAUAUCAAUUACAGGGACAUUUUACUCAAAAAAGAAAACUCAUUCACUCACUCGUUAUUUCAAAUGUUCACAGCUUUCUUUCUUCAGCAGAACACUAACACAAAAAAGAUUUUGAAGAAUGUCUGUAACCGAACAACUCUGCUAGCAAUUUAAUGGACACAAAACCAAUGCAGGUCAAUGGGCAUACUUUUUCAAAAUUUCUUCUGUUGUGUUCUGCUGAAGAAAGUGACGGCAAUUUUAAUUUGUGGGUAAACUUUAACUCUUUCUCAGCCAGCGUCCCCUUAUUAACAAGUUUACUCUUCAAUGGCAAGGAAAAAGUUUAUACUAACAUUAUUUUCAUAUUUUCACUUAUACAAUUUAUAGGUGCUAGAACCUUUACAUUGACUAUGCAAAUAAGGCUACUUUACACUGGACAAAGAACAAGCACCUUCUGUGGUUUCCUCUCCAAUGAGAUUGGCGUAGAGAUGUUUUUUACUUCCUUCUUUUGCACUCCUGAUGAUGUUUGGGGCCAUUUUAUCUCGAAUUUCGUCUCCUUACAACACAGCUGUCUUAUUGUGCUUGGCAAAUUAAUUUAAAAUGACAAAGAAAUAAAGCAGGACUGUAACGUAAUUCAUUAAAACCAGGAACAAAAUGUAUUUAACAGAGCUUUUAUAACUGACGGUUGACGAAGCCCGUCAGUGCUUUAACGUUACCAGCAGUAUUUUUUAACUGAGGUAAAUAUUAUAAAUGUAGCUUCUAGUAUCACUAUUUAGCACAAGACCUACUCUAACAAAAUAAAUAUUAACUAAUUAUACUAAAUAUUUCAGUAAUAUCGGUUCAAAAAU